rnacentral:rRNA from 1 species
GUUGUAAUUUGAAGAAGGCGACUUUGUAGCUGGUCCUUGUCUAUGUUCCUUGGAACAGGACGUCAUAGAGGGUGAGAAUCCCGUGUGGCGAGGAUCCCAGUUAUUUGUAAAGUGCUUUCGACGAGUCGAGUUGUUUGGGAAUGCAGCUCUAAGUGGGUGGUAAAUUCCAUCUAAAGCUAAAUAUUGGCGAGAGACCGAUAGCGAACAAGUACAGUGAUGGAAAGAUGAAAAGAACUUUGAAAAGAGAGUGAAAAAGUACGUGAAAUUGUUGAAAGGGAAGGGCAUUUGAUCAGACAUGGCGUUUGCUUCGGCUUUCGCUGGGCCAGCAUCAGUUUUAGCGGUUGGAUAAAUCCUCGGGAAUGUGGCUCUGCUUCGGUAGAGUGUUAUAGCCCGUGGGAAUACAGCCAGCUGGGACUGAGGAUUGCGACUUUUGUCAAGGAUGCUGGCGUAAUGGUUAAAUGCCGCCCGUCUUG